rnacentral:lncRNA from 1 species
AGAACAAACCAUGAGUGCCCUCUACCCACGCCAGGAAGCUCGUGAAAUCGGCAUAAACAGGACAAAAGGGCAGCUGCGGAAACAUUUGGCUGUGCCGAGGGGUAGUGGGCUCCACAUGCUGGAAUCCUGCACAUGACCAGCUUGAGUUUGUAUCCACAGCUACAGGACAGAACUUUAUGGAAACAGUUUGCCAAGCCAUGUGGUGCUCUGCUCGCUUCUCUGUGCAUCAAUACCCUUUUAAUUACCUGAUCCGGAG